rnacentral:tRNA from 1 species
GGGGCUGUGGUUCAGUGGUACAGCACUUGCCUAGCAUGCAUGAGGCACUGGGUUCAAUCCCCAGCACCACA